GAAAAACAUUUGUGUAAUGGACUGAGGUGAUAACACCCACUUUUUCCCGGUACCAUAGGAGGCCUGAAACACACCAUAGAAAAUGAAGAGUGGCUGAGACAAUGUGCAUAGACCAACCUGCAGAAGAUACGAAAACAGCCAAGUCCUGGCCUUGUCUGAGAUACCUAUGGAGACUCUGCCCAUAAGAACUCUGAGGUAUUUUUCCAACCUCAGCAGCUGUUACCAAAGACUCUGCAGGAGAG
rnacentral:lncRNA from 1 species